GAGCGUCUGCGUUUUUUCACCAGCUCCAGGUGAAGCCAGUGGUGCUCAUCCACAGAUCACAGUGUGAGUAGCUGGGCUUUAGAGAACUCGAUGGGUCCUCUGUGUCUGCAUGGCUCUGGAGGUGGAAUCAGAGGUACCAAAGCACACACUAGUUUGCAGUGAAAACUGAGCUAGCUUAACAGGAAUGGGAACUUUCAUCUGAGAUAUACACUUCAAGAGAUUUACAGCAGGCAUCUGUUGAGCACCUCUGAGGCCAGGCCUCAGCUGCUGUGUCUCGUUGGCCUUUCAGGGCCCCGUCUGUGCUACCUGACGCUGCACCUGCUGGGAGCUCUGGUGGUGAGUGGUCGUGACUGGAGUUUUGGCCUCCUGCAGUCUGUCCCUCUUCAGCUCAGCUGGCUUUAUGUGCUUCCUUCACACCCACCUGCAGUGGAGGCCACCAGCUACCAGACCUGAUCUAGGAAGAUGACAUGGAUGGUUUCACUUAAUCUCCCCAGCAGUCCUACGAGGGAGCUGCUUUACCCCUGUAUGUAGGCCUUGCCCUCGUCCUGUACAGACAUAUGUAAGAUGUGUGAAUCAGCUUUGUCUGCAGCCACUUCAGAUGGGCCAUACUACUCUCUGAUGAAGUUGGUGGCGCCGUGGAGGAGGACCUCCGCCUCCUGGACGAGGACCGGGACCGCUCAGCGUCAUAGGGGACGUGCUUGUCGUAGUUCUCCAUCUGAGCCUCGAGGAAAUCUCUCUGCUGCUGCCUGAUGGUCUGGCUUAUGAGCCCAGGCAGGGCGUGGAUGCUGCCAAUCAGCGUCUCUAAUUUUGUUUCCAGGGAGUGAUGAAAGAAUGCGCCCCAUGUUUGUUCCUCAUGUGUCCCUGUGGGAGCCAUGUGUGAAAAUACUGAGCACAUCUUUGGUCCUCACAUCCGUGUGCUGCCCAGCGUGAAUGAAUGAUGCCCGCUCUCCCAGAGAUUACAUCUUUUCCAACUCAGGGCUGUUGAGAAGCCUGGUUUUCUGAAAGGUCAUCUACUUUAGAAGGACACAUUGCUACAGAAGAAACAGAAGGAGAAAUGUCUGAAAGCAGCAGAAGAAUCACAAGUGGUUUCCUCCAUCACUUUAUCUGAAAGCAGCAUGUGCAGAGACCCAGCCACGUUUCCCUGAGUACAUUGGCAGCUGCAUUUUUCACCUGUUAAGAAAACAAACACAGCAGUUGAUAAGUUCCAGAGCAGAACCGUCUGAAACCUGGAGGUCAGUCAUGUCCUUCUUCCCAAAGAUCAUGGAGAACACACAGCGAUGUCUGGAGGCAGUUUUGGUUGUCACACAUUGGGGGACGUGCUACUAGCAUCUAAGGAUACUGCUGAACAUCCCACGAGGCACGAGAGUCCCGCAUGACAAAUAUCCAGCCCAGAAGCUCAGUAGUGACGAGUCUACCCUUGACAGUGACCAGAACUGUGCCCCCCGCCUCAGCUCACUUACCCCCUCCCUCCCCGCGUGGGAGGGCUUGUGUGUGUUCUUCUCUAACACUGAGAAAUGUUCACCAGUUUGGAGAAUGAUUUCAGGAAUUGAAGAAAAUGAGAGAAAACUGUGAGCAGCAGAAGACAUUCCACAGCGAUAAAUCCAGGCCGACAGGACAGUGGCAACCAAAAUCAAGAACAGAGGGCUGGUGACUUACUCUCUUCGUCAGCUGAGUAUCCAUCAUGAAGUUGUGCACGUGCUUCUCCGCUUUGACAACGGAAGCAAGGUGAUUUUGGAGCUGAGUACCAAAGAGAAGAGUGGCCUGUGAAGCAUCUAUACUUCUGUUGACUUUCAACCAUCUACCACCAAAUCUGAGUAAGCUGCAGUAUUCUGAUGAGAGACCAGCCUGAAUCAGCACCUGCCCGCUGGACGGUAGCAUCUGCUCGACAAGUUCGGCAUCACCUGUUGCUGGUGUGCUCCCAGGCGCUCCUCAGUCGGGGAGCGUCAGGAGCAGCGAUGGCUUUUUAAUCAGCAGCAGGUACAAAACCUGAGGGGCUUCUACCACUGGAGAGUUAUCUCUGAGUGGCAGUUGGCACUGGAAGCUGAAUAUUGCUCUCCCCUGGCUGGAGGCCGCUGCUGAGAUUCUUCUGGAAAGAAAUCAAAAUCCCAACCGGAACGGAAAAUCACUGGUAUCAAAAGCUUAUGGAAUCUGAUUUUUAUUUGUGUUUAUUCUUGAGCUCUAUUUUUCCUUCCUGCUCCUGGCCCAUUUCUUGCUGAGCGUCCUCUCACUCAGCCCAAAGUCUCAUGCAUUAAAAUGAGUACUCCUGUUGCAACUGAGAAAAGCAAGUGAAUCUGACAAAUAAUGAUUGAAAAUAUUACCUGUGUCCCUCACUCCCUUAUCUGAACUGUACCAUUUAAAUUGUACCCCAAGAGCCAUUUAGAAACCUCUUUUUGUUCACCUGCAAAGUUUUUACUUGUUAUUUGUAAGCCUGAUUCCUCCCUAGGUUCCUAAUAAAUCAUAAGAGGUUUUGAUAUGUACAGAAUCAGGUUUUUAAAAAUAACUUUUAGAGUUAUGCACAAUGAAGUUGGCUCACCUCUAAAAGCUUUCUAGGUUCAAGGUAAAUUUCUGCCAACACAUUAAUGGUUACAGUAAUUAAAGUAAGGACACGAUGUCCCUUUUGUGUCUAUUUCCUGGACCACUGUGUCUCAUAAACUGAAUAAGAAUGAAAGUAAAUAUGCUUUUACAACAUUGUCUCCAAAUCCUGUCAUGAUCACAAUGGAUAUAGAAACAGUGGGGACUAACAUAUGUUACUCUCUGAAAUUAAGAUUCCAGUAUGCCUUUAACAAGAUGAGUCAGAGUCUUUUCCCCAAAGUCAGAAAAUGCUUCCUGGUUACUUUUCUAUUUCAUUUAUGUUAUUAAGAAAAAAGCCAAGCAAAUAACUAACCUGCUACUUCAGGAUGCUCAGACAACUAAAAACUAAAUUGGAAAGAAACCCCACUGUUGAUGAAGCCAAUAUAUUAAAAUCAAAGGUUUAAGUUCUCCUUGGCUAAUUUGUCAGCUUUCCUUCUAACAAAUGAGAUGUUGCAAGAAAGGAAAAGCAGGGAGAGAUGCCUUGUCGUAGCAAACGCAAGUAUUAAUGCGCACGACACCAGAUUAAAGCGAACGUACAAAUGACAGAAAGUGUAAGCCAUCCCAGCACCUGGAGAGUCUUAGAUGCCGAAUUAAAAUACAGAACUUUUCUCCACUGUUUCCUUUUCUAAUACAGCACACACACUGAAAGCCAUGUUGGUCCCUGGAAUGUAAAAGAAGUUCAGGUAGCUCAUUUUCCCCAAGAUCACUGAUCACAUGCUGAUUGAAAAGUUCAAAGAAGUGACAUUUUUACUUUAGAUCACCUGGUGAUGCUGAUCCUACAAGUACUUAUGAAAAACCUCUUUGGGCUCAAGCUUUAAUAGCUUAACAGACAAGCCUAUGGAAAAGGGGAAUUCCUUGAACAGUAUACUGAGAAAGGUUUUGAUUUUUCCUUAUUAAAAAGGCAUCUGCCGAAGGGUCAAGAUAGAUAAUAAUAAUGAAAUUUAUAAAUUCGGGAGAAAUUCCAGGUUACUUACCACCACGGAGAAUGACGCUGCUAACCUGUGCUAAUGUUCAAAUUAUUCCCCUGUUUAAGUAUCCUCCUGAGUCUCACAAUAGCUCCUAAAAGGUCAAAGUUCAUUUUGAAAGCAGACAAAGACUACCAUUAGUGAAAACUUCCUAAAGUACAGUUAUUUUGAAAAACUCAUGCUUUCUACCUCAAGUACAACCAAGUUAAUAAAACAGCUAAAAGAUUAAUUUUCAUCUAAAAAUAUUAACUUGUCCUCCAAAAGGAAGGUGAAGUGAGUACUUGAAAACACUGCCCCUUUUUCUGUCCCUGUGGUUGACUGACUCAGUGUCCUAGAAUAAUAAAUAUAUUUUUAGUGCACUUGCCUGACGCAAUUAUUCUUUCAUAAGAAUACGUACAACAAGCAUCUCUGGCAAAGAAAAGUCUAUGAAACAUUUAGCUUUAGUCUUAUAUCCCACUGGAGUUUUCCAAGAUCUCUGUCAUGAAAAUAAACAAGAUUCAAGAUAAUUUUGAAGACAGAUUCCCUUUAUCAAAAUUCCCUGCCUCUGAGCAUCUUCAGAUCGAGUUGUCCCUUGAACAACGAGGGGGUCAGGGGGAGUCAGCCCUCCGGGCCCACGAAUGCAGCCCACCACGGCCCUGCAGGACUGAGGCGUUUACUACUAAAACAUCUGUGUGCAAGUGCAGCCACGCAGGUCAAAGCUGUGUUGUUCAAGGGUCAGCUACGUGGCUGACGGGAGGGUGCAGGUCAAGGUAAAUGUCCUCGCCUUAAGGAAGGGGGCAGAAGGUAUGUGUGUGGUCUUUUGAAUUCAGUGACACAACGUGAGCUUAGGAGCCUCAAAGCUCCUUUAGGGUAAUUUACUUGUUCAGCUCAUUCUUGUGCUUUGGUGGCUGGAAAGAAGGAAGUGCUACAUGAACCCGGCCAUAGGCAGUGACUCAUCCCUGGGUUUAAGUCUCCUUCUUAGCACCAG